GCCGUUUUAGCUCAGCUGGUAGAGCGUCUCUCUCGUAAAGAGAAGGUCAACAGUUCAAGCCUGUUAAACGGCUCCA
rnacentral:tRNA from 1 species